GAUGAACGCUGGCGGCGUGCCUAACACAUGCAAGUCGAACGGAGAUUACGGACGGAAGUUUUCGGAUGGAAGCCUGUAAUUCUUAGUGGCGGACGGGUGAGUAACGCGUGGGCAACCUGCCCUAUACAGGGGGAUAGCAGCUGGAAACGGCUGGUAAGACCGCAUAAGUCGGUUAAAUCGCAUGAUUUGAUCGGGAAAUGAGCAAUCGGGUAUAGGAUGGGCCCGCGUCCGAUUAGCCAGUUGGCAGGGUAAAAGCCUACCAAAGCGACGAUCGGUAGCCGGACUGAGAGGUCGGACGGCCACAUUGGGACUGAGACACGGCCCAAACUCCUACGGGAGGCAGCAGUGGGGGAUAUUGCACAAUGGAGGAAACUCUGAUGCAGCGACGCCGCGUGAGUGAAGAAGUAUUUCGGUAUGUAAAGCUCUAUCAGCAGGGAAGAUGAUGACGGUACCUGACUAAGAAGCCCCGGCUAACUACGUG
rnacentral:rRNA from 1 species